rnacentral:lncRNA from 1 species
UAUCCAUUCCUUGGGUUUGCAAGGCUAAUAGUUGAAGGGUUAGUGUGUCAAUCUGACAUUGCUGAGCGUCAAUCUGAUGCUGCAGGUAGUCCAGUUGCCCCUGCAAGCCCUCAUGGUCCUUCUAUUGAAAAUCUAAAAGGAGACUAGUUAGUGCAUUGCGUACAUGCAUACAUCCAUACAUACAUAUUGCAUAAGUCAUUUUCUUAAUGGCUAGUCCUCAUCGAUGAUGAAGAACUGCCUCCUCACAGUAUCAACCAGCGAUAUACAUGCUCAACUGAUCCCUUUGAACCCGUAUAUAUAUAUGUCACUAACCUUUUAGAAAAAUAAAAUAGGGAAAACACAAAAGAGAAGAGUAGCUUACAUGGGUGUAAGUACUCAGAGUGAACUUCAGAGGGAGGCACUAGCUCCAUAGCAAGCUGGUGCUCCAUCACGCCAUAUGAUCUCCAAUAUAAGACCAUCAAAUCAAGAGGAAUCGAACACUCCUUAGAACCACAUCAGACAUGGUCGUAGAAGAUGCCUUAGAAGCACACCGAUAGAAAAGCCUACGAUAUGAUAAAGCUUGGAGCUUCGAGAGGACCAUCCCUUAGUUAGCUCACGAAUAGUAGGAGCCUAGUGGAUAAGCUGUAAAUAAAUGAUUAAGAAAGCAACAUUUAACAAAAGGGGAAUUCUAAGUGAAUUCAAGAAAAUACUUGAGCUACAGCAUCAUCGCUGAGAGGUACGACCCCCAACAGUUGAGGGAUGAAUGAGGUAUAGUCCAUCCAUUGAGAUUGGAUUGUAAUAUCUUCGGGCUCCUCAUACCCCAUCAAGCACUCUGCUAAUUCCUUGCUAGCAAGAUCUUCUGUACAGAACAUGGAAAGAGGAUGGGAUAAUGGGACUCGGUGCCUGUUGGGGCCUCGCUCCCAGCCAUAGAUCCUCUCUCCUAAUUACCAAGCCCAACAGGCGGGUCUGAUUAGUAGGAUCCUCCUCUGCUCGAGGUCAGCUACAAAUAAUAAUUAGGGCUCUCAUUGGCUAUGCUCUCCUAGUUAAUCACCUUGAAUAUGCAAACCAGAAAGAUAAGUAACAAUAUCAAUAAAGCAUGAAUAUAACUAAUGAAUUGUAUUUACCAUAUCCCAGGUUAAACUAUUGAUCUGCAUGCGGUGCAUGUAAACUUGAGACCACUCUAGAGUAAUGGUCCUGCUUGAGCCCGAACGACUCAAGCGAGGAAAAGCCCGUGAGGUGCAAAUGGGUUGUGAACCCACCAGAAGUUUGAUCUCCAAGGCCCAAACCUGCAAAGAAAAGAGUCAACAUUCAUUGUAUCUAUAAAGGAAAUAAAGGAAAAAGAAGUUAGUAUACAACUUGCAUGGAUUGCGUACCAAAAACUGUAGAUCCUCUUGCUUCCUUGAAUGGUAACAUCCAUUGAAUGGUACAAAUAUGUGAGAGCCGUAGAUCCCCAGUUGUAAGAAGAGACCUAGUCCAAGUCCCACAGUGGUGGUAGAUAGUGGAAGUUCAUUGAGUUCCCCGAGUCAUUGAAUAAUGUUGUAGCAAAGAGGUACACCAAAAAGGCUCGGGCCAUCUGGUCAACCUCCCGAGCAUUCCAAGGAACAAAGCUCCAGUAAUUGGGGGAUGCCCUGAUAAGAAAUGCAUCAUGAUUCGAAUGGGGCACUCCCAGACGUCGGAAUGCUAAUUAUGGAUUACAUUGUCGAAUGGCAUAGGUGUGCUAUAAAAGUUAAUGUCGGUGAUAGCAAAAAAAGAAAGGGGAGAGAGAGUCAGCUCACUAACAUGAGUUGUGUCCAUCCACCUCUCGAGCACGGAUUGAUAGAAGUGUGAUCGACCCUUCCGAUGACUGAUGGGAGUGUGACCACGAAUCAAUAGAAGCCGAUAUCUCUAAUCUUAGCCUGAACUGAGCUAGGAAGCUCGUUGAACUAAUUUCGAGUGCGAUUGAAAUGUUCAGC